rnacentral:rRNA from 1 species
CCUACGGGUGGCAGCAGUGGGGAAUAUUGGACAAUGGGCGCAAGCCUGAUCCAGCAAUGCCGCGUGAGUGAUGAAGGCCUUAGGGUUGUAAAGCUCUUUUACCCGGGAUGAUAAUGACAGUACCGGGAGAAUAAGCCCCGGCUAACUCCGUGCCAGCAGCCGCGGUAAUACGGAGGGGGCUAGCGUUGUUCGGAAUUACUGGGCGUAAAGCGCACGUAGGCGGCUUUGUAAGUUAGAGGUGAAAGCCCGGGGCUCAACUCCGGAAUUGCCUUUAAGACUGCAUCGCUAGAAUUGUGGAGAGGUAAGUGGAAUUCCGAGUGUAGAGGUGAAAUUCGUAGAUAUUCGGAGGAACACCGGUGGCGAAAGCGACUUCCUGGUUCGUUCCUGACGCUGAGGUACGAAAGCCAGGGGAGCAAACGGGAUUAGAUACCCUGGUAGUC